AGAGUUUGAUCAUGGCUCAGGAUUAACGCUGGCGGCAUGCCUAAUACAUGCAAGUCGAAUGGUUAGCUUGCUAACCAUGGCGAACGGGUGAGUAACACGUAGGUAACCUGUCUUCAAGACGAGGAUAACCAUUGGAAACGAUGGAUAAUACUGGAUAGGACAAAUCCCCGCAUGAGGAGAUGUUUAAAGGAGCAAUCCACUUGAUGAGGGGCCUGCGGUGCAUUAGUUAGUUGGUGGGGUAACGGCCCACCAAGACGAUGAUGCAUAGCCGGACUGAGAGGUUGAACGGCCACAAUGGAACUGAGAACGGUCCAUACUCCUACGGGAGGCAGCAGUAGGGAAUUUUCGGCAAUGGGCGGAAGCCUGAACCCGAGCAAUGCCGCGUGAAUGAAGAAGUAUUUCGGUAUGUAAAGUUCUUUUAUUUGGGAAGAAAAAACAAAUUGACGGUACCAAAUGAAUAAGCUCCGGCUAACUACGUGCCAGCCGCAGC
rnacentral:rRNA from 1 species